rnacentral:antisense_RNA from 1 species
UUGCAGGAAUUUAGCCAAUUCAGAGAUCUUGUUCUCCAUAAUUUGGAAUUUUCCUUCGGAUUUGAUCAAGUUGGAUAGAGUUGGUCAAACCCAAUGGGAAAAAGAUGAAAACAACAAGAAACAGAAACAAACAACAACAGCAACAACAACAAAAACAAUGCAUUUAAUUAAAUGAAGAUGAGCUCAUGCUGGAGUAGGGUGGACUCUGAACCCAGUAGGACAAGCGUCCUUGUUAAGAAGAGGGAAAUCUGGACACACACAGAGCAGAGACCGCCGUGUGAAGAUGGAGGCAGAGAUCGGAGAGAUGCUGCCACAUGCCACAAAUGCCUGGGGCUCCCAGAAACUACACGGAGCCUCCCCCAGCGGCUUCAGCAGGAGCAUGGCUCGGCCAACACUUUAAUCUUGGUCUUCCAGCCUCCAGAACGUUUUCCUAAAAUUCCCUUUUCCACUGGUGUGUGGUGCAAGAUGAGGCACAUUUUCCAUGGAUGGUGAACAGAGGGAGGAGCCUUUUGAUCACAACCCGGUCACCCCACUUCUAAGCCACUGUGCCUCCAGCCCCACAAGACUAAGGAGAGAGAGCGCAGAGUGGUGGAGAGUGAGCUGUGCUGGGACCGUUGUUUCCGUAACCUCGUUUUCUGUGUCCAGCUGACACACCUUCAAAGCGGCAUCAGGUCCUACACUGUAGCUUGCAAUGUGCCUGUUUCCAGAAACCAAGGUGAAAGUGCUUUUAGACAGUGUUCCCAUGCAAGAGUCCCUUCCCAGCUUUUUUCUGGAAAUGCAUGUUUCUCUGAACUCUGAGUCCCAAGAAAAAUCAUUUGAGACAUCAAGAAAAUGGGGGAAGUGCUAAAAUUGUGUGGGAAUUCAAGCUUAACAAUAAACAUCAAGACAUUUUUGGUAAAAAUGAAUCCACUGACAUCGGGGAGGAGCAAGAGAACAGCACGCUGACACUGGGUCAGAGGCUAAGACCGACAUUUCUGGGAACCACUCCCGGAAGGGCACAGAUGAGACACUUUCAGCCUCUCGUCAGCCAGCCUGGCCUGUAGCUGCUGCACGUUAUGAGUGUGUUCCUGGCAUGACUGCUUCUAACAACUGGGUCUCGCUUGUUGCCCAGGCUGUAGUGCACUGGUGCAAUCAUGGCUCACUGCAGCCUUGACCUCCUGGAUCAAGGUAUCCUCCCACCUCUCAGCCUCCCAAGCAGCUGGGACUACAGGUGCACGCCACCAAGCCCAGCUAAUUUUUGUAUUUAUGGAGAUAUGGGUCUCACCAUGUUACCCAGGCUGGUCUUGAACUUCUGGGCUCAAGCCAUCUGCCUGCCCUGGCCUUCCAAAGCAUUGGAAUUACAGGCCUGAGCCACUGUGCCAGGCCAGAGCCAACAGGACUUACUGAGAAAUUAUCUGAGAGAGAGGGGUCAAGGAAGACUCCCUCUGUUCAACCAAGCAACGAGGUGAAUGGUGCUGCUGCUUCCUGAGAUGGGGAAGACUGUAGAGGAAACAAACCAGGAAUGACAAAUCAGUAAUUUAGCUUCGAAUACAUUAGGUUUGAGAUGUCUAGUCUGUACCCAAACAGACCACACUGUGGCAUCUGGGCAGCAGGAUCUGCAGAAUCCAGCAGGAUGGAUGCUGAUGCCAAGCUGAGUAGACAGUUGGGUCUGUGAGUCUAAAGCUCAGGGAAGACCUCAGGGUCUGGGAAACAAAUCUGGAGAUCAUCACCCUGUCCAUGAAAGCCAAGGGAAUGAUGGAAGAUACUAUGAGAAAAAGUGAAGAGAGGAAAGAGAAGAGGUCCAUGGAAGGAGACCUGGGAGAAUCCAACCUUCGAUUAGAUCAGGAAGAGGAGAAGGAUCCAGUAAAAAACUCUGAGAAGUCUCUGGGAAGGAAGUCUUCCUUCCUUCCCCUGUACCAGGAGAGGUGCUAUCCUAGAAAUUAGUAAAGAAACAGUUUUUGAUGGGGAGAGCAGGAUCACCUUUGUCAACUGCUGCUGCGAGACUUGGAAAAAUAAGGACUGGGAAGAGAGCAAUAGAAACUUUGAAAGCCAUUGGUUAUCUUGACAAGAGUUGUUUCUGUGGGGGUGGUGAGAACUGGAGCCUGAUUGGAUGGGUUCAAGAGAGAAUGGGGAGUUCUAGCCAAGAAGGCUGAUGAGGAUGAGUCAAAUUAAAAAUGUUUUCUUUUUAUGAGUCCUCUCAUAUUUACUGAUACAACUGAUAUAUUUGGUCUCCAUUCUGCCACAUUACUUUAUAUUGAUCAUGUACUGUAUCUGCUAUGUUUCCCCAUGCAAUGUUAUUUUUUUACUUUAAAAAUUGUAUUUAUAAAGGUUUGUAA